rnacentral:rRNA from 1 species
UCCCUAUGGGGUGCAGCAGUCGCGAAAACUCCGCAAUGCACGAAAGUGUGACGGGGCUACCCCGAGUGCCACCCGCUGAGGGUGGCUUUUCUUUGGUAUAAUUAGCCAUUGGAAUAAGGAGAGGGCAAGACUGGUGUCAGCCGCCGCGGUAAUACCAGCCCUCCGAGUGGUAGGGAUGAUUAUUGGGCUUAAAGCGUCCGUAGCCGGCUUAGCAAGUCUCCUGUUAAACUCAGCGACCUAAUCGUUGACCCGCGGGAGAUACUACUAGGCUAGGAGGCGGGAGAGGUCGACGGUACUUCUGGGGUAGGGGUGAAAUCCUAUAAUCCCGGGAGGACCACCAGUGGCGAAGGCUGUCGACUAGAACGCGCUCGACGGUGAGGGACGAAAGCUGGGGGAGCGAACCGGAUUAGAUACCCGGGUAGUCCCAGCCGUAAACGAUGCGGGCUAGGUGUUGGGAUGGCUACGUGCCAUUUCAGUGCCGCAGGGAAGCCAUUAAGCCCGCCGCCUGGGGAGUACGGCCGCAAGGCUGAAACUUAAAGGAAUUGGCGGGGGAGCACCACAAGGCGUGAAGCUUGCGGUUCAAUUGGAUUCAACGCCGGAA